rnacentral:misc_RNA from 1 species
GAUGAAGAACGCAGCUAAAUGCGAUAAGUAAUGUGAAUUGCAGAAUUCAGUGAAUCAUCGAAUCUUUGAACGCACCUUGCGCCUUUUGGUAUUCCGAAAGGCACACCUGUUUGAGCGUCAUGAAUACCUCAAUCUCCAUCUUUUCUUCGGAUUGAUGGGUGACUUGGAUGUUGAGCCCUGCUGGUAUGCUAUAUCAGCUGGCUUUAAACUUAUUAGCCGGCUCUGUACUGGAUCGGUUUGACUCGACGUGAUAAUAUUAUCGUUGAGGAUGCAUGUCUCAUGCAGCCGGAAAGUAUCAAAGCAGCUUCUAGCUUGCCUUUAGUGCACUUUUACAUUUUAGACCUCAGAUCAGGUGGGACUACCCGCUGAACUUAAGCAUAUCAAUAAGCGGAGGA